AUGUUGGUGCGGACAAAGAAGGAGAGGGAGGGCUGGCUGGAAGGUAACCCGAGCACAACCAAUACUAGAUCUGAAGGCUCAUGGCGGAAGUUGUGGAAAGUGAAAGUACCGUCCAAAAUUCGUGUCUUUGCAUGGCGCCUUGCAAAAAACUCAGUGCCGACUGGUGUAGUCCUGGAACAUCGUAACAUGGCAACGACAACGGUUUGCGCAAUUUGCCACGCUGCUAAGGACACCUGCACGAUGUCAAGAUGUGUGUGGGCAUUGGUGGAUGAAGAGCUCACAUAACACAUGUGUAUUUCCAUCUGUCCAGAUGCGAAGGAAUGGUUGUUUCAUCUGAGCGAGACUCUCAGCCAGGAUUUUAUCAAGGUGUUAGUCACGCUCUGGGCUAUAUGGAGUGCGAGACGGAAGGCGUUGCAUGAGAAUAUAUAUCAAAGUCCGGUCUCAGUUAUUGGCUUUGUGCAGAACUAUAUUUCAGAACUUGAAUAGGUUUCACCGGUUCAGCAACAAACUAUGGGACGCACAUGCCAUGAAGCUCUGAAGUGGAUACCGCCCCCAGCAGGUAUUACAAAGAUCAAUGUCGAUGGUGCGGUCUCUAAGAACUUGGGCCAAGGGGCAGCAGCGGCUAUAGCUCGCGAUUCUUGUGGAAACUAUCUUGGUUCUUCGGUGCGAGUCUGUGAAGGCGUGACGGACCCUGCGAGUUUGGAAGCUAUAGCAUGUUGUGAGGCACUUUGUUUGGCGGAAGAUUUACAUUUGCAGAAGUUGCGAGUGGCGUCGGAUGCUCAGGGGGUGGUACGUGAUAUUACUGGAGGCAGCCACUGCAGCUACAGCUCAGUGCUACAUGAAAUAGCAAGGCGCAGGAGUAUGUUUGAGGAGGUGACCUUUGUUUAUGAAGGGUGUGUACCAAAUGGAGAAGCUCACCUGCUAGCUAGAUACUCGGUAAAUUUAGAUUCUGGUCGGCAUGUAUGGCUCAUGGACUCAGACCCCUUUAUUGUACCGAAGAGUGUUGUUAUUGAAUAA
rnacentral:rRNA from 1 species